rnacentral:rRNA from 1 species
CAGGCCUAACACAUGCAAGUCGAGCGAGAAAGCCCGCUUCGGUGGGUGAGUAAAGCGGCGAACGGGUGAGUAACACGUGAGUCACCUACCCUUCAGCGGGGGAUAACAUCUCGAAAGGGGUGCUAAUACCGCGUACGGUCCCGGUUGUUCCUGCUUCCGGGUCGAAAGGUGGCCUCUCUAUAGAAGCUACCGCUGAAGGAUGGGCUCGCGCACCAUUAGCUUGUUGGUAGGGUAACGGCCUACCAAGGCGACGAUGGUUAGCUGGUCUGAGAGGACGAUCAGCCACACUGGAACUGAGACACGGUCCAGACUCCUACGGGAGGCAGCAGUGGGGAAUAUUGCACAAUGGGGGAAACCCUGAUGCAGCAACGCCGCGUGCGGGAUGAAGGCCUUCGGGUUGUAAACCGCUGUCAGGAGGGAAGAAAUCGCCUCGGUGAACAAUCGGGGUGGAUGACGGUACCUUCAGAGGAAGCCCCGGCUAACUCCGUGCCAGCAGCCGCGGUAAU